UACAGAGGUGCCAAGCGUUGUUCGGAUUUAUUGGGCGUAAAGGGUGCGUAGGCGGUUGUGUAAGUCGGGUGUGAAAUUUCGGAGCCUAACUCCGAAACUGCAUUCGAAACUGCACAGCUCGAGGUCUGGAGAGGUGAUUGGAAUUCUAGGUGUAGCAGUGAAAUGCGUAGAUAUCUAGAGGAACACCAGAGGACGAAAGCGAAUCACUGGACAGAACCUGACGCUGAAGGCAGCGAAAGCUAGGGGAGCAAACGGG
rnacentral:rRNA from 1 species